CGGCACAAGCUGAAUUCAUGCCUCAACUACAUUCAAGAAUGGGGUGAAAGAAGCAAGAGUUAGAAAAUGGAAGGUACGUGACCAUUUCUGAAUUGUGAAUAAAAAAUUGAUGUUACUAUAAAUUUCAUAUUUUAAUUACCUUAGGAAUGACAGCACUGGAUGGAUUGGAUGCUCCUUCAAUGGCUCUAUACUCAUGCAUCUUCCAUUUGGUUUUUCUCCCAGUCGGAGCCUUACCCUUAUAGAAAACCAUCGUCUUCUUUACCCCGAUCACCCGGUUAUCGGAUGAAUAUACAUAGCCCGGUGAGCCUGUGGCCUUCCAAUACCCAGAAGCAGUGGUUCUGCUCGGUCUCCCGCCGCGUUCUUCCCUCUCCUGUCUCGG
rnacentral:lncRNA from 1 species